GCCAUGCCGCGUGUCUGAAGAAGGCCUUCGGGUUGUAAAGGACUUUUGUCAGGGAGCAAAUCCUGCUUGUGAAUAAUGAGUGGGGAUGAGAGUACCUGAAGAAUAAGCACCGGCUAACUACGUGCCAGCAGCCGCGGUAAUACGUAGGGUGCAAGCGUUAAUCGGAAUUACUGGGCGUAAAGCGUGCGCAGGCGGUUCUGCAAGUCUGAUGUGAAAGCCCCGGGCUUAACCUGGGAACGGCAUUGGAGACUGCAGAGCUAGAGUACGUCAGAGGGGGGUAGAAUUCCACGUGUAGCAGUGAAAUGCGUAGAGAUGUGGAGGAAUACCGAUGGCGAAGGCAGCCCCCUGGGAUGAUACUGACGCUCAUGCACGAAAGCGUGGGGAGCAAACAGGAUUAGAUACCCUGGUAGUCCACGCCCUAAACGAUGUCAAUUAGCUGUUGGGGGUUUGAAUCCUUGGUAGCGAAGCUAACGCGUGAAAUUGACCGCCUGGGGAGUACGGCCGCAAGGUUAAAACUCAAAGGAAUUGACGGGGACCCGCACAAGCGGUGGAUGAUGUGGAUUAAUUCGAUGCAACGCGAAAAACCUUACCUGCUCUUGACAUGUCCGGAAUCCUUGAG
rnacentral:rRNA from 1 species